rnacentral:lncRNA from 1 species
AUGUCGGGUUCUUCUAGCGUCGCCGCCAUGAAGAAGGUGGUCCAGCAGCUCCGGCUGGAGGCCGGGCUCAACCUCGUGAAGGUUUCCCAGUCAGCUGCAGACUUGAAACAGUUCUGUCUGCAGAAUGCUCAACAUGACCCUCUGCUGACUGGAGUGUCUUCAAGUACAAAUCCCUUCAGACCCCAGAAAGUCUGCUCCAUUUUGUAG